GUAAACUUGAUGCUUCUGGACUGACAAACUGAAAAAGCUCCGGAGUCUCAAAGACUCUUCAGGAAGUUAAAGCUGAAGAGGAUUUAAUAUUUGGUUCUGGAGAGAAUACAAAGUCAAGUGAAGUUGUGCAGCAUCUUUCCACGUUACGAAGAUGAAAACGAGGAAGAGGAGACAUGAGAAGCGAGAAUAAAGAGAUUUAAUCCACCAGAUGUUUGAGAGCUUUGCUUCUCCCAUGUCCCAUCGGCUGAUGACCUUACUGCAGACAGCCACUAGGGAGCGAUGAAGACAUUUUGGCUUCACUCUUAGGAAGCUGUCAUGUCGUCCAUCUUCAUACAAACUCUGUGGGUGCAACUGUUGUAUAAUACGAAUAUAAACCCUGACUGAUGCUGAACAGUAAAACUUUUUAUUUUUGUUAUAGUUCAUCGUAAAGACUCGUCUGAAGUUUUCAGGUCACGAUGGCAGAAAAACGAGGUAAAACGAGAAAGAGGUCACAGCUGUGAUUUACAGGAGCCGACAGUAAGGACUGGACAUCUUUGUUCAGACAGCUCACACGAAGGCAGCGAGAAACCUGAGCCGUGACACAAAUUGCGGCUGUGAAGGAGCUGACCUCGCUGCCCCUGUAAAACCCGGAGCCGCCACCUUCAGAGGCUCCUCUCAACCUCCGGCCCCUCAGCGCCGCGUCUGAGAGACUUCUGCCGUUGUACCCAGUGACAUUUACAGCUCAAACAAUCACAGGAAGCUUUGGUCAGACCGGACAGACAGAGAUGUUGCCGUUGAGCCUCAGACACGUCUCAGUGUCACUCCGGCACCGUGAUGGAGCUUAAUUGCAUCGUUGUUUGAACACUAAAAGAAAAAGUACCGCACAUAAAUCAUCCUGUUACACGGAGAAGCUUGUAAAUCAUGACUCUGCGACUGCUGGGGGAAAUAGACACAAGCUGAAACAUUAUCCAGGGUUGAACUGAGGAAACUUCUGCUCUCAUGUCUGGACUUUCUUCUAUCCCUCUCCAGCAUCUGACUGUGUGUCAGGACCUCCAUCUGUUUUUACUGUUCCAGCAUCGUCGCUGAGGGAAGAAACGAUUUUCAAGUCCCUGCGAUCGCCGGCCAUCUCGUCCCAUCGGACGCUCCUCAUUCUUUUUUUCGCCGAGCUUUUAUCCUGUCUCUGAUAGUGGAGGAGAAAGCCUGGAAAUUGAACCUCUGAAUAAAGGGAACGACAUGUAAUAAAUAUGGAAUCACGGAGCACUCGUGUGCCGUCGGUUCAGAAUAACCACUCUUCUUCAACGUAAGAAAUCAUUGAGCUUUCUGAAAACAU